CCUACGGGUGGCAGCAGUGAGGAAUAUUGGUCAAUGGACGAGAGUCUGAACCAGCCAAGUAGCGUGAAGGAUGACUGCCCUAUGGGUUGUAAACUUCUUUUAUAAAGGAAUAAAACGAGGCACGUGUGCCUUUUUGCAUGUACUUUAUGAAUAAGGAUCGGCUAACUCCGUGCCAGCAGCCGCGGUAAUACGGAGGAUCCGAGCGUUAUCCGGAUUUAUUGGGUUUAAAGGGAGCGUAGAUGGGUUGUUAAGUCAGUUGUGAAAGUUUGCGGCUCAACCGUAAAAUUGCAAUUGAUACUGGCAGUCGUGAGUACAGUUGAGGUAAGCGGAAUUCGUGGUGUAGCGGUGAAAUGCUUAGAUAUCACGAAGAACCCCGAUUGCGAAGGCAGCUUACUAAACUGUGACUGACAUUGAUGCUCGAAAGUGUGGGUAUCAAACAGGAUUAGAUACCACUGUAGUC
rnacentral:rRNA from 1 species